rnacentral:rRNA from 1 species
UACGUAGGGUGCGAGCGUUGUCCGGAAUUAUUGGGCGUAAAGAGCUCGUAGGCGGUCUGUCGCGUCGAUCGUGAAAACUUGGGGCUUAACCCUGAGCUUGCGGUCGAUACGGGCAUGACUGGAGUUCGGCAGGGGAGACUGGAAUUCCUGGUGUAGCGGUGAAAUGCGCAGAUAUCAGGAGGAACACCGGUGGCGAAGGCGGGUCUCUGGGUCGAUACUGACGCUGAGGAGCGAAAGCGUGGGGAGCGAACAGG